ensembl:snoRNA small nucleolar RNA, C/D box 56
CUACAAUGAUGGUAAUAUUUUUCGUCAACAGAGUUCUAAUGAGUGUUGAUAUAUUGGGUCUGAGUGA